UCCCAGACUCCUACGGGAGGCAGCAGUGGGGAAUAUUGGACAAUGGGGGGAACCCUGAUCCAGCGACGCCGCGUGAGUGAAGAAGUAUUUCGGUAUGUAAAGCUCUAUCAGCAGGGAAGAAGAAAUGACGGUACCUGACUAAGAAGCCCCGGCUAACUACGUGCCAGCAGCCGCGGUAAUACGGAGGAUGCGAGCGUUAUCCGGAUUUAUUGGGUUUAAAGGGUGCGUAGGCGGGAUGCCAAGUCAGCGGUAAAAACGCGGUGCUCAACGCCGUCGAGCCGUUGAAACUGGCGUUCUUGAGUGGGCGAGAAGUAUGCGGAAUGCGUGGUGUAGCGGUGAAAUGCAUAGAUAUCACGCAGAACUCCGAUUGCGAAGGCAGCAUACCGGCGCCCUACUGACGCUGAGGCACGAAAGCGUGGGUAUCGAACAGGAUUAGAUACCCUGGUA
rnacentral:rRNA from 1 species